AGGGUUUGAUUAUGGCUCAGAUUGAACGCUGGCGGCAGGCCUAACACAUGCAAGUCGAGCGGUAGAGAGGUGCUUGCACCUCUUGAGAGCGGCGGACGGGUGAGUAAUGCCUAGGAAUCUGCCUGGUAGUGGGGGAUAACGCUCGGAAACGGACGCUAAUACCGCAUACGUCCUACGGGAGAAAGCAGGGGACCUUCGGGCCUUGCGCUAUCAGAUGAGCCUAGGUCGGAUUAGCUAGUUGGUGGGGUAAUGGCUCACCAAGGCGACGAUCCGUAACUGGUCUGAGAGGAUGAUCAGUCACACUGGAACUGAGACACGGUCCAGACUCCUACGGGAGGCAGCAGUGGGGAAUAUUGGACAAUGGGCGAAAGCCUGAUCCAGCCAUGCCGCGUGUGUGAAGAAGGUCUUCGGAUUGUAAAGCACUUUAAGUUGGGAGGAAGGGCAUUAACCUAAUACGUUAGUGUUUUGACGUUACCGACAGAAUAAGCACCGGCUAACUCUGUGCCAGCAGCCGCGGUAAUACAGAGGGUGCAAGCGUUAAUCGGAAUUACUGGGCGUAAAGCGCGCGUAGGUGGUUCGUUAAGUUGGAUGUGAAAUCCCCGGGCUCAACCUGGGAACUGCAUUCAAAACUGUCGAGCUAGAGUAUGGUAGAGGGUGGUGGAAUUUCCUGUGUAGCGGUGAAAUGCGUAGAUAUAGGAAGGAACACCAGUGGCGAAGGCGACCACCUGGACUGAUACUGACACUGAGGUGCGAAAGCGUGGGGAGCAAACAGGAUUAGAUACCCUGGUAGUCCACGCCGUAAACGAUGUCAACUAGCCGUUGGGAGCCUUGAGCUCUUAGUGGCGCAGCUAACGCAUUAAGUUGACCGCCUGGGGAGUACGGCCGCAAGGUUAAAACUCAAAUGAAUUGACGGGGGCCCGCACAAGCGGUGGAGCAUGUGGUUUAAUUCGA
rnacentral:rRNA from 1 species